GAUGAACGCUGGCGGCGUGCCUAAUACAUGCGAGUCGAGCGAACGGACGAGAAGCUUGCUUCUCUGAUGUUAGCGGCGGACGGGUGAGUAACACGUGGAUAACCUACCUAUAAGACUGGGAUAACUUCGGGAAACCGGAGCUAAUACCGGAUAAUAUUUUGAACCGCAUGGUUCAAAAGUGAAAGACGGUCUUGCUGUCACUUAUAGAUGGAUCCGCGCUGCAUUAGCUAGUUGGUAAGGUAACGGCUUACCAAGGCAACGAUGCAUAGCCGACCUGAGAGGGUGAUCGGCCACACUGGAACUGAGACACGGUCCAGACUCCUACGGGAGGCAGCAGUAGGGAAUCUUCCGCAAUGGGCGAAAGCCUGACGGAGCAACGCCGCGUGAGUGAUGAAGGUCUUCGGAUCGUAAAACUCUGUUAUUAGGGAAGAACAUAUGUGUAAGUAACUGUGCACAUCUUGACGGUACCUAAUCAGAAAGCCACGGCUAACUAC
rnacentral:rRNA from 1 species